GACGUAGGGCGCAAGCGUUGUCCGGAUUUAUUGGGCGUAAAGAGCUCGUAGGCGGCUUGUCGCGUCGACUGUGAAAACCCGCGGCUUAACUGUGGGACUGCAGUCGAUACGGGCUAGCUAGAGUUCGGUAGGGGAGGCUGGAAUUCCUGGUGUAGCGGUGAAAUGCGCAGAUAUCAGGAGGAACACCGGUGGCGAAGGCGGGUCUCUGGGCCGAUACUGGCGCUGAGGAGCGAAAGCGUGGGGAGCGAACAGG
rnacentral:rRNA from 1 species